GCGCCGGUUGGGCCGCUGAUGAGCAGGCUGUAGCCGGCUUCCACCCAGUCACCGAGUGCGAGGCUCGUGAGCGAGCGCGGAUCGACGCCACGGCCAACGCGC
rnacentral:tRNA from 1 species